rnacentral:rRNA from 1 species
UGGAGGGCAAGUCUGGUGCCAGCAGCCGCGGUAAUUCCAGCUCCAAUAGCGUAUAUUAAAGUUGUUGCAGUUAAAAAGCUCGUAGUUGAAUUUCGGGGUUCAUACGUUGGUCGGGCUUUUUGGUCUGUACUUAUGUAAUGGAUUCCUACCUUCUGAAUAACCGGCAUGUCAUUAAUUUGGUGCGCCGGGGAAGCAGGACUGUUACCUUGAAAAAAUUAGAGUGCUUAAAGCAGGCUAUCGCCUGAAUACAUUAGCAUGGAAUAAUGAAAUAGGACGGCAUGGUUCUAUUUUGUUGGUUUCUAGGAUCACCGUAAUGAUUAAUAGGGAUAGUUGGGGGCAUUAGUAUUCAAUUGUCAGAGGUGAAAUUCUUGGAUUUAUUGAAGACUAACUUCUGCGAAAGCAUUUGCCAAGGAUGUUUUCAUUAAUCAAGAACGAAAGUUAGGGGAUCGAAGACGAUCAGAUACCGUCGUAGUCUUAACCAUAAACUAUGCCGACUAGGGAUCGGACGAUGUUAAUUUUUUAAUGACUCGUUCGGCGCCUUACGGGAAAC